rnacentral:rRNA from 1 species
AUUGAACGCUGGCGGCAGGCCUAACACAUGCAAGUCGAGCGGAUGAAGGGAGCUUGCUCCUGGAUUCAGCGGCGGACGGGUGAGUAAUGCCUCGGCAUCUGCCUGGUAGUGGGGGAUAACGUCCGGAAACGGGCGCUAAUACCGCAUACGUCCUGAGGGAGAAAGUGGGGGAUCUUCGGACCUCACGCUAUCAGCUGAUCCUAGGUCGGAUUAGCUAGUUGUUGGGGUAAAGGCCUACCAAGCCGACGAUCCGUAACUGGUCUGAGAGGAUGAUCAGUCACACUGGAACUGAGACACGGUCCAGACUCCUACGGGAGGCAGCAGUGGGGAAUAGCGGACAAUGGGCGAAAGCAUGAUCCAGCCAUGCCGCGUGUGUGAAGAAGGUCUUCGGAUUGUAAAGCACUUUAAGUUGGGAGGAAGGGCAGUAAGUGAAUACCUUGCUGUUUUGACGUUACCAACAGAAUAAGCACCGGCUAACUUCGUG